GACAUUUUGACUCUGCUUCAAACAUCCCAAACGGAAGUAAAACGUCUGCAGGAGGAGCUGCAGCAGACCCAUGAGAAGUUCUCUGGACUUGAGGAAAGCUCCAACAAGCUGAGCGAGGAAC